UUCCGUAGGUGAACCUGCGGAAGGAUCAUUAACGAGUUCAGAAACGGGUUGUAGCUGGCCUUCCGGGGCAUGUGCACACCCUGCUCAUCCACUCUACACCUGUUCACUCACUGUAGGUUGGCGUGGGCUUCCUUCGCGGGAAGCAUUCUGCCGGCCUAUGUACACUACAAACACUAUAAAGUAACAGAAUGUAUUCGCGUCUAACGCAUCAUAAUACAACUUUCGGCAACGGAUCUCUUGGCUCUCGCAUCGAUGAAGAACGCAGCGAAAUGCGAUAGGUAAUGUGAAUUGCAGAAUUCAGUGAAUCAUCGAAUCUUUGGACGCACCUUGCGCUCCUUGGUAUUCCAAGGAGCAUGCCUGUUUGAGUGUCAUGGAAUUCUCAACCUAUAAAUCUUUGUGGUUUAUGGGCUUGGACUUGGAGGCUUGCCGGCCUCAAUGGUCGGCUCCUCUUGAAUGCAUUAGCUUGAUUCCGUGCGGAUCGGCUCUCAGUGUGAUAAUUGUCUACGCUGUGAAUCGUGAAGUGUUUGGCGAGCUUCUAACCGUCCCUUUGGGACAAUUUAUUGACAUCUGACCUCAAAUCAGGUAGGACUACCCGCCGAACUUAAGCAUAUCAAUAAGCGGAGGA
rnacentral:rRNA from 1 species